rnacentral:rRNA from 1 species
GACGAACCGUGCGAACGUUGUUCGGAUUCACUGGGCUUAAAGGGCGCGUAGGCGGGGGGUCAAGUCUGAGGUGAAAUCUUUCGGCUCAACCGGAAAAGUGCCUCGGAUACUGACUCCCUCGAGGGGGGUAGGGGCAUGUGGAACUUCCGGUGGAGCGGUGAAAUGCGUAGAUAUCGGAAGGAACGCCGGUGGCGAAAGCGACGUGCUGGACCUCUUCUGACGCUGAGGCGCGAAAGCUAGGGGAGCAAACGGG